rnacentral:rRNA from 1 species
CACUAAGUGGGAGGUAAACUCCUUCUAAAGCUAAAUAUCGCCAUGAGACCGAUAGAAGACAAGUACCGUGAGGGAAAGUUGAAAAGCACUCUGAAUAGAGAGUCAAAUAGUACGUGAAACUGCCUAGGGGACGCAAACCUGUUGAACUCAAUGAUCCGGGCGGCGAUAUUCAGUGGUGGUCGACUCCUAACCGGGUCGGCUGCCUUGCACUUAUCGGUCCGCAGUAACGGACAUCGCGAUCCAUUACAAUGGUGUCAUUCCGGCAAUGGCCCCUGACUCGUGAUAGGCGGCUCUUCAGUAAGGUGGCUCGGCGGCCAUCCUGAGCAAGAGUCUCCGCGACCUUCUAACCGAGGGGCGCAGGGCCCGAUCGAGUUUGGUGUGCCGCUGGAAGUGUGAUGGAUUGUUAUGAGCGAGGUGUCUGGUGAGUGGCCUUUAGCCGGAGGCCCGAUAAACACCUGCCCUCGAUCGGUGAUGACGCAUUAUGCAUUGAGGAACCUUCGGGA